rnacentral:rRNA from 1 species
UACGGAGGAUGCAAGCGUUAUCCGGAAUUAUUGGGCGUAAAGCGUCCGCAGGUGGCACUUCAAGUCUGCUGUCAAAGACCGGGGCUUAACCCUGGAAAGGCAGUGGAAACUGAAGCGCUAGAGUGUGGCAGGGGUAGAGGGAAUUCCCGGUGUAGCGGUGAAAUGCGUAGAGAUCGGGAAGAACAUCGGUGGCGAAGGCGGCAUCCUGGACCACGACUGACACUGAAAAGCGAAAGCCAGGGGAGCAAACGGG